AUAUAAAAAUAGAACAUUCUCAAGAUAGAACGCAUUAUAACAAAAAUGAAACGAUAAUUGCGUUUAACGUAACGACGUCGGAUAAGAACGCGCGACUCGCUCGAGACAAUCCCGCUGAAACGUUAAACGCGUACGAAUUCGUGGACGUGCUCUCUCGCACCAACAGACGUGUGCUGUUAAAGGAUUAAGUCAAGGAGUUACAGUUUUAAAAUAUCUGACACCAGAUAGUCCGUCCGGACGCCGACUGCUACUACCGCAAAACACUUUUGUCGAUCGACUAGAAUCGACCCUUCAUUCGGAGAACAUGCAGCCGCAAGAGGUUCGGCGCAGUUCGGCGGUAUGCAGGAGGCGGAUAAUGAGUUUGUAGGUCAUUCGGAUUCGAUUGCACUGAAUGCUGCAGCACGAAACGUCGUGGAAACGUACCAAUGAACUCCGCACGAGCAGGAUGCCAGAAUCACGAGGAACGGUCGUCGUCGUCGUCGUGGUUAACUUACAAUAGGAUGGUACGUGGGCCAGCGUGCCGGUCGAAGAUAGGACAUCAUCGAUGAACCGGCAAAGAUCGUAGCCCUAAAGACCGCGCGGUCUUACGACUGUUACAUGUUUUUCUUACACGCGAUCUGUAUUAGAUAUAGAGAACGUGAUUAGAAUCAUGACGAAAAGGGGUCCGAAAGGUGAAUGUGAUUUGUAUGUACGCGGUUUACGAGUGCGUGAAGAAUAGUGGGGUGCAGUGAUGCGCGGAGCGGCCACUCCGCAACGCUCCCCUUUCAUUAGGAAUUCAGAAUAGUGAAAGGAGUGUCGUAAUCUUAAAGAACUGAAUGAGGAGACGGAGGAGACCUCCACCUGUUCUUGUCAUCCGCAUAACACGCGGUCCUCCAGUCUCGCGAGCGCACGACAUGGAGAAAGUCGAACGGCAGCUGACUUCUUCGUAAGUUAUGUUACGAUG